CGCGGGGACCCGGGCAGCUCCGGGCUCUGGGGACCCCUGCGCCUCGCCCACUUCUCCCUUGCCGGGGCUCCGCAGGGCUGGCACUGCGGGCCGCCAGGGUGCGUCGCGCCUCCCCGCCCCGCCGCUGUCCCCGGCGGCGCGGCUGCGGGAGCCCCCUCCCUCGCCGCGCGCUGCGCGCUCCGCCCGAGCCGCCGCCGCCGCCGCCGCCGCCGCCGCCGCCGCCGCCGCCGCCGCGUGCUCCCGCUGUCUCCUCGCUCCAGCCGAGCGAGCCAGAGGAACCGGGGAGAGGGAGAGAGCGAAAGGGGGAGGAGAGAGAGGCGAGAGGGAGAGAGGGGAGGGAGGGAGGGGAAGACAGAGAGAGACAGAGACAGAGAGAGGAGGCGGCGGCGAGGGAAGAGCGAGUGUGGAGCGCCGAGCCGCGGGGCUGCUCCGGAGCCGGCGGAGCCUCCUCGGAUAGCCGCCCCGGCCCCGGCCCGGGCCCCGGCCCCAGCCGCUCGCGUGGUCGGAGGAGACGCGGCCGCCGCCGCCCGAGCCCGGUCCCGCGCGCCCCUCGCCGCCGGCUCGGCGGUGCCCGCGCGGCUCCGGGACGCCGCUGCCUGCUCGGCGGUCGAGAUGCAGCCGGGGCAUGGCCGCCGGGCCCCCGUCACCUGCCGCGGGGAGCGCUGAGCCCGUUGAGAAUCCGUCUCUGA
rnacentral:lncRNA from 1 species